rnacentral:tRNA from 1 species
GCCCCUAUAGCUCAGCUGGUAGAGCGCUUGAUUUGUAAUCAAGAUGUCGGGAGUUCGAGUCUCUCUGGGGGCA